rnacentral:rRNA from 1 species
GCCUAACGGCUGAACUGGCAACUUGGAGAAGUGGCAAGUCUUCCAGUAUGGGGAGCAAAACAGCUAUGGGUCAAGUCCGAUAUCUUUAGGAGAAGUCUUAUUGUGAGGGCGAGUUAUAUAACACCAUAGGACUGGCCGUCCCAUAUGAAAAGAUUAUAUUAGAAUUGAAUGAAGCUUUGUUUAUAUAUUGAUAAUGACAGUAUAUAUAUCGUGUCUUGACUAAUUGCGUGCCAGCAGUCGCGGUAAUACGUAAGAGACUAGUGUUAUUCAUCUUAAUUAGGUUUAAAGGGUACCCAGACGGUCAAUAUAGCUUAUAAAAUGUUAGUACUUGACUAGAGUUUUAUGUAAGAGGGCAGUACUUGAGGAGGAGAGAUGAAAUUUCGUGAUACCAAAGGGACUCUGUAAAGGCGAAGGCAGCCCUCUAUGUAAAAACUGACGUUGAAGGACGAAGGCACAGAGAACAAACAGGAUUAGAUACCCAAGUAGUCUUUGCAGUAAAUGAUGAAUGCCAUAGGUUAGAUUGGUCAAUUAUAGUCUAGGGUUAGUCUAGCAAACUAAUGCCCUGUGCUAUAAUUCAAAAUAUCUGGUCUAUAAAUGAAAGUGUAAGCAUUUCACCUCAAGAGUAAUGUGGCAACGCAGGAACUGAAAUCACUAGACCGUUUC